rnacentral:rRNA from 1 species
AGUGAACGCUGGCGGUAGGCCUAACACAUGCAAGUCGAACGGCAGCACAGGAGAGCUUGCUCUCUGGGUGGCGAGUGGCGGACGGGUGAGGAAUACAUCGGAAUCUACUUUUUCGUGGGGGAUAACGUAGGGAAACUUACGCUAAUACCGCAUACGACCUACGGGUGAAAGCAGGGGACCUUCGGGCCUUGCGCGAUUGAAUGAGCCGAUGUCGGAUUAGCUAGUUGGCGGGGUAAAGGCCCACCAAGGCGACGAUCCGUAGCUGGUCUGAGAGGAUGAUCAGCCACACUGGAACUGAGACACGGUCCAGGCUCCUACGGGAGGAGGCAGUGGGGAAUAUUGGACAAUGGGCGCAAGCCUGAUCCAGCCAUACCGCGUGGGUGAAGAAGGCCUUCGGGUUGUAAAGCCCUUUUGUUGGGAAAGAAAUCCAGCUGGCUAAUACCCGGUUGGGAUGACGGUACCCAAAGAAUAAGCACCGGCUAACUUCGUGCCAGCCGCCGCCGUAA